rnacentral:sRNA from 1 species
GCUAUUCUAAGUUAUUCUGAGUAUUACUCAAGCUAAAUUUACAUUUGUUUUUACUUUGAAAAAUAUAGAGUUUUCCUCGUGUGGCCAACGAGUUAGUAAUUCUUUUCUCAGCAAUACAUCAACUGUUCAAUUUCAAGGAAAAUCGUUAGAGUCAUUUUUUGAGAUCAGUGAACAGCGUCCAACCCUGUUCCUACUGGUUUUAGAAGUUCUGACUUGAAUAGAGGUAUUCUGUCACUGUGCUCUAACACCGCCAUGUCGCAUUCCAGUCACGACCUGUGCAGGACGAGUCUCCGGGAAUACAUUCGCAACUGUUCGUCUGCUGGCUCAAGUCUGGUUCGACAUGUGGAAAAUUACAGUGCCAACUUAGAGUUGACGAAUCUGUCACAUCUUCCCAUAGAAGUGGUAA